rnacentral:lncRNA from 1 species
CACAAGUGUUUCUGAGGCCUAGCUGCCUGCUGCCUGCUGUGAAACCCUAUAAACCCUGCCCCGUGGGAAUUGAGCAGAAAGGACAGGGACCUCCUCCUCUCUGGAAGUCUCUGAAGAUGAUGGUGGACAAAGGUGAGGUUGUCAGCUGGCUCAGGAACCAGCGCACAUCCGAGUACCACCUUCCAAUGGUGAUGCUGAUGAUUCUGACCCAAGAAUGAUAUGCUGAGAACCACAAGUCAGAACAACCAGACUUGGCCCUUGCCAAACAUGGUGGUGCACACCUAUAAUCUCAGCACUUGGGAGGCUGAGGCCAGAAGAUUGCUGUGAGUUCGAGGUCAGCCUGGGCUACAUAGUGAGUUCAAGGCCAGCUUGAACUACAGAGUGAGACCCUGUGUAACAACAACAACAACAACAACAACAACAACAACAACAACAAAAAGACCUGGCUCUUAUAGUUUCCCUGUUUCUGCCCCAGCCUGGAUUGAAAAGUGUUUUUUUCCAAGCCUCAAGACUCACUCAGUCAAAUGAACUUGUUCACCUGAAACAAACCCCAGAGGCCAAGUGUGGCCCAAGGAAGUGACCAAGCACUGUUCACAGAAUUAUCCUUGGGUGUAAAGAAGAAAUUAGGUGCUAUGAUAAAUAUUUCUGAGAAAAGAAUAUAUUCACAUAUGUAUAUCAUUAGAGUCUAUAGAAAAAGUCAACAAUUAUGGAUUGGGAAAAAAUCUAGCCCAGUGCUUCUUUUUGUAUGAUCUUCAAGCUGAAAAUUAUUUUUACAUUUGUAAAUGAAAAUGGGGAGAAGAGAAUUUUUGGUAGUAAGUGAAAAAAGAAAUUCAGAUUUCAUUGUUCAUAAAGUUUCAUAGAAAUACCACCACAUUAAUUAAUUUGCAUAUUGUUCCUGUUUGCAUUUAUGUUGCAGUGGUGGCCUUGAGCAGGUGCCACCAAGACCCAGUGGCCCCCACAAAGGAUAAAACAUUUACUAUCCAGCUCAUUCCAGAAAAAACUUGGCAAUGCCUACUCAAAACGUGGUCCAAGGUAAUGGUUUGUCACUAAUGUGCAAUCAGAUCAACACAGAAAUUGAGAGGAAG